UUUAAAAGCCAAUAUUUUGAGAUAAGAACCAAGAAGGCAAGAACUAUGCCUGGCUGCUUUUUGGUGAAAAGCAAGCACUGUUACGCCUUCCAUUACAGCAAAACAUUAGUGGGUUGAGAGAUUUUUUUUUAUAUAUUUCAAGGUGCAAGUCACACACUAUAGAGCCAGCAAGAAGGGCCAAAUUCCACCUCCUAUAUUGGGAAAUGUAGAUUGCCAAAUCCGAUAGGGCAAAGCGUGAGUUCUUCUGAGAACUUUCUCCGUCAAAGCUCAUCUUGAGAAAUCCAAAUUGACGUGGUUUGGGGUUGUUACCGACUCGUUCUUUGACAUUUGGAGCUAAUAGUUGGUAAUGUAAAGACUACUUUGAGGUUGACUUCUUGGCUCUCCUUAUGGCUUGGUGUUUUGGUUGCAGAAUUUUCUGUCUGCAUUAAAUCAUCCAUUUUCUCAUGUUAGCAAUGUACAGUGGUCAAAUUGGAUCAUUUUCAUCUUGGGACCUUUUACCUUUUUUCAUCAUGUGGGAGUUAGAAUUAAUUCCUGUUUAUCUACUUCUAGCCAUGUGGGGAGGAAAGAAACGCUUGUACUCAGCUACAAAAUUUAUUUUGUACACGACGGGGGUAUUUUAGAACUUCUUCUAGCGACUUAUGCAUUUUGUUAUCAUUUCCAAUCGGAUGAUCCAUUAAUCCAACUAGUGGAGGAUUAUAAAUGGAUCGAUUUUUUUGAUUUCCAUUGGAGAUUAGGAAUAGAUGGACUUUCUAUAGGACCCAUGUGACACAGGUGAUUUCUCAGGACUCAUUCCAUUAUUUGAAUUGACUUCUUCUUCAUCCUCCUUGACUUGUUGUUUGUUGAUACUGUAACUUCCUUCCACUUCAAUUUCAUUACUGGUAUUGUUUCUGUCUUGUGACUUUCUGCUGGUUGAACUGGUGCCACUGUUCCUGAUGUUCCUUUGUGAUGAUCCUUCUUUGUGAUUGUUACUAGUUAUUGCUUUGCCUUUCUCUGCACCUAUUUCUGUGAUGUUCAUUUCUGGAUCCUCAUUCAUAAUAUCCUUCCCUCCAGCAAUUGAUUCCUCUUGUUCAUCAUGAUUUACCUUCUCAGGAUUGUCCUUUUCUACAUCAACGCCUAGAACAUCAAAGCUAGGCCUGGUUCUGUUUGCAGUUUCCAAAUCAACAGUCAAUGGCCUACCCACAGCUGAUGCCAUUGAAAAAAUUGCCUCCAUUGCAAAAAAAUUUGGAGGUAGUUCUAGAAAGCUUAUCCAUGCUAAAGCUACUGAUGUUUCCCAUCGGGCUUAAACCAAGGGUUCCAAACUAAUGGUCUCAUUUGACAAUAUCUUGAAUAAACUUUGAUGUAAUAAGCCGGAGUGGACAACAUUUUAAUGUAAUCUUCCAAUAGAGAUAAUCUAAUCAGUAUGUGCCUGUCUUCAAUUAAUCCAAUUCUACAUGUCCCUUUGAUGGCACACUAAUCUGGGAUGGCAGCCCUUAAUUCCUUUAGAUCAAUUAUGUCAUAUGAAAACUUACCUAAAAUUGCAUAUUGUAAUUCCUCCUUAAUGGUUAACUGCUUGACCUCAGAGGAUUUCCAUGAGACAUGUGGUUCUCCGUCUAAGAACACCACUGGCUUUAGAGGAACCUGUGGCAUGCACAAAUUCAAGCCCAGAUUAGGCUUCAGAAGGUUAGCAAAAGUCAUAGUAGGUUUGGAGUUAGUAAGGUUUUCAAAUGUGGGUGCUUAUUUAGUAUGCGUAUCAUGCAAAAUUAUAGGAUCAACAGUGUUUACAGAAGUGGUUGGUUGUACUGUGUGUGGUAAUGAAGGUGGAACAGCCUCCGGUGGAGUCUGUCCACCAGUAGGAUUGGCCAUGGAGGCCGGUGAAAUGGUGUUUCUGGUGGCUACGGUUUUUAGGCUAGAGAGUGUUUUCCUUUAUAUAUUUGAAAUCAAAAACAGAAUCCAACAAGAGUUAGGCCCAAAACGGGUCCAACCCAAAACAAGAUAUUUUUACUUCACUUUGUUUUCAUGAUUUUUGUAUUUUGCUGUAUUUCAAUGUAUUCAUCUUUUUUUGGUAUAAAUAUAGUGAAUGUUCCAAAUAUAAAGUAUGUUUUUACUCCAUUUUAUU